UACGGAGGGUGCGAGCGUUGUCCGGAAUCACUGGGCGUAAAGGGCGCGUAGGUGGCCCGACAAGUCUGUGGUGAAAGCUCGACGCUCAACGUCGAAGUCGGCCAUAGAUACUGUUGGGCUGGAGCACUGUAGAGGCUCAUGGAAUUCCGGGUGUAGCGGUGGAAUGCGUAGAGAUCCGGAAGAACACCGGUGGCGAAGGCGGUGAGCUGGGCAGUAGCUGACACUGAGGCGCGACAGCGUGGGGAGCAAACAGG
rnacentral:rRNA from 1 species